rnacentral:hammerhead_ribozyme from 1 species
ACCAGUGACGAGUCCCAAAUAGGACGAAAUGCGCGUUAUCCUGGAU